GAUGAACGCUGGCGGCGUGCCUAAUACAUGCCAGUCGAGCGAACAGAUGAGGAGCUUGCUCCUCUGACGUUAGCGGCGGACGGGUGAGUAACACGUGGAUAACCUACCUAUAAGACUGGGAUAACUUCGGGAAACCGGAGCUAAUACCGGAUAAUAUAUUGAACCGCAUGGUUCAAUAGUGAAAGACGGUUUUGCUGUCACUUAUAGAUGGAUCCGCGCCGCAUUAGCUAGUUGGUAAGGUAACGGCUUACCAAGGCAACGAUGCGUAGCCGACCUGAGAGGGUGAUCGGCCACACUGGAACUGAGACACGGUCCAGACUCCUACGGGAGGCAGCAGUAGGGAAUCUUCCGCAAUGGGCGAAAGCCUGACGGAGCAACGCCGCGUGAGUGAUGAAGGUCUCCGGAUCGUAAAACUCUGUUAUUAGGGAAGAACAAAUGUGUAAGUAACUAUGCACGUCUUGACGGUACCUAAUCAGAAAGCCACGGCUAACUACGUG
rnacentral:rRNA from 1 species